ACCUAAAACGAUUCGUUUCGUCGUAUUUCUGAAUCAAUUCGAGUAUUGGUCCUUCUAUUUUCUUUGCGAGUAAGAAAAACCCUCCGUGGCUCGGUUUCUGUCGAACAUGGCAGAUCCUUCUAGACCAGUCACCGGCUACCCCUCAGCUAAUGGCUACCCUGCUCCGCCACUCGGAAGCGCCUACCCGUACCAAGCCCAACCACCGCAAAAUCAGCCGCAUGCCUACUAUUACAAUGCCCCGCCGCCUCCCGACCCCCGCCUCGCCUUCUACCGUCGAUUCUGCGUGAUUAUCAUCGGUCUCACUGUUAUAUUCGCCACGGUACUCUUCAUCUGCUGGCUUGUCAUCCGCCCCAGAGUCCCCGAGUUCCGAGUCGAUUCGCUCUCUGUCUCCAAUUUCAAUGUCACUUCAUCCUCCCAGACCCUCACCGGCAGCUGGAACCUGCGGUUGCAGGUCUACAAUCCCAACAGUAGAAUGACUCUCUCCUACGAUGAUGUCAGGCCCUCGGUAUUUUACAAGACGGAGUUCCUUGUCGAGACUAGAAUCCCGCCGUUCCAGCAAGGGAAGAAGAAUCAAACGUUCGUAGACGCGAGUUUCUCGGCAUCGAAUUCUUAUGUUGACCGGAGGGUCUUGGAUGGGAUCAGUGCGGACAGAGCUCGUGGGACUGUAAGCUUUAAUGUGAAGGUUGUGGCAGUGGUUAAGUUUAGGACCGGUGCGUGGAGAGCCAGGGCGCGAGUGCUUAGGGUUUAUUGCACUGACGUACCAGUCGGGAUCACGGCAAGCAGUACAUCAGGGAAAUUGGUUGGUGGAGCAAGGGAAUGCAGUGUCCGCGUAUGAAUAAUUAUAGGCCCUAUCAGCCUUGUGCAUUGGUUUGUUGUCCUUUGGUCUGCAAAUACUGCUCUGUGGAAGGAACAUGACUCAUGAGGAGAGAGCAAUUGGAGGUCGAUGCGCGGAAAGCAUAUAUCUGGAGAGUUGUUUGAAUUGGGAUGGCCUUUAUAUAUGUGCUAGGUAUGUGGCCGCUCGUUGCGGCGGGGUGGUAAUUUUGCGUUUGGAGAUGAUGAUGUUGUUGCAGCAUUCGUUCUGAGUUUCAAUGGUUGGGCAAGUAUGGAUGAAUGUUUUGAUGAUGAACAAAUGUAGGUAAUGAUAGAGUAUAACAAUACUCAAGCAAAGACUGAAGCAAUAAUACAAUAAAAAUGGGGAGGUAAUAGCAGAUUGUAUUGAUAACCAGAACGAGGUAAAGUAGGUGGCGAUUACAAUAAGAAACUAGCUUUCGAGGAGCUAGACCCUCCCACAGAACAGCCACAAAAAACCCUAAUCCUCUCCCCUGUAAAACAGCUAAUAUAUACUUACUACAGGACAAACAAAAGACUAAAGCAAAUAAAAGGUAACAUCUGUCUUCAUCAAGGCCCUCCAUUUGGCAUCUCCUGGUGCUUCCGGCCCUUUCUCAUGUAUCUCUUAUCAAUAACUCU